UCCCGUGUGGCUCAGUUGGUAGAGCAUGGUGUUUGCAACGCCAGGGUUGUGGGUUCGAUUCCCACAGGGGAA
rnacentral:tRNA from 1 species